GACAGAGGGUGCAAACGUUGUUCGGAUUUACUGGGCGUAAAGCGCGUGUAGGCGGCUUUGCAAGUCGGAUGUGAAAUCCCACGGCUCAACCGUGGAAGUGCAUCCGAAACUGCAUCGCUGGAGUCUCGGAGAGGAAGGUGGAAUGCUUGGUGUAGAGGUGAAAUUCGUAGAUAUCAAGCAGAACACCUGCGGCGAAGGCGGCCAACUGGUCCGGAACUGACGCUGAGGUGCGAAAGCGUGGGGAGCAAACAGG
rnacentral:rRNA from 1 species